rnacentral:rRNA from 1 species
CCUACGGGUGGCCGCAGUGAGGCAUAUUGGUCAAUGGCCGGAAGGCUGAACCCGCCAAGCCGCGUGAAGGACGAAGGUGCCAAGCAUUGUAAACUUCUUUUGUCAAGGGACAAAAUCAGGCUCGAGAGCCUGACCGCGGGUACUUGAAGAAACAGCAUCGGCUAACUCCGUGCCAGCAGCCGCGGUAAUACGGUGGAUGCGAGCGUUAUCCGGAUUUCUUGGGUUUAAAGGGUGCGUAGGCGGGCUGUUAAGUCAGCGGUAAAAGCCCGGGGCUCAACCCCGGCGAGCCGUUGAAACUGGCUGUCUUGAGAUGUCGAGAGGUAUGCGGAAUGCGCAGUGUAGCGGGGAAAUGCGUAGAGAUUGCGCAGAACUCCGAUUGCGAAGGCAGCAUACCGGCGGCGAUCUGACGCUGAGGCACGAAAGCGUGGGUAUCGAACAGGAUUAGAUACCCUUGUAGUC